GCGACUUUCCAAAUCCUCCCGGAGACUGUUUCAGCCGUUAACGGAGUCUUUUACUGCCGUUAACGGAGAUUGUUUCAGCCGUUAACGGAGACAGUUUCAGCCGUUAACGGAGACUGUUUCAGCCGUUAACGGAGACAGUUUCAGCCGUUAACGGAGACAGUUUCAGCCGUUAAUGGAGACAGUCGCAGCAGAGAGGAGACACACACCACUCCGCGGUCAGGCUGAAAAUGAACCGCGCAUGCGCAUGGCCGCCGCUGUUCCCGCCCAGCGGGGUGUAAUGUCUCGUCACUCCCUCGCGCACCAACAGUGACUUCCAGCGACUUUUAAAACAGCCAAUAGCAACACGCAGAGCAGAGCAGAGAAGAAGAAGAUAGAGCGGAGAAGAAGCAGAGAAGAAGUGAACUCCUCCUGACAUUUGGAUUUAUUGUCUUCAAACUUCAGAAGGUGGCUGUUGGACAAUGAUGUAGGCUUUACAAUCUACCUCGUCAACACACCCAGAAAGAAGAGGCUGCCAGAGUGAACAUGACUGAGGGGCACAGCGAGGCCAGCAUGGCAUCUUUUGUGGGUUCUGCCCGCAGCUAUGAUGAAAUACAAUUAAAACCCAAAGCUGGAGCAGCCUCAGAGGACGAGCAGCUGGUUGGCUUUGGCUGUGGACCAGAGAGCAGCUGGAGGGAGGUGUGGGACAGGAGGGCUGACGGCUACGCUGCCUUCAUCAUGAGAACUAAGUCUUUUCAGGGACUCAGAUGUACAGACUGCAGCAGUAGCUGAUAAGGAAACAGUCGGCCUCUGUCUCCUCUUCACCAGUUCCUGCCUCAAGUGCACCUGAUGAAGACACCAUGAUGGAUGAUGAUGAUGAGGAGCUGGAGAGAGCGAUGAAGAGCAUAUCACCCACCAAGGAACUGGCACAGUGUUUCCCACCGUGCCGACAGUGAAGAGACCUGUAACCAUUCCUCCUGAGCUGCAGGUUCUGGUGACAGAGGUUGCUCAUCCCAACAAACUGAGUUCUUUCAGCGUGAACUUCAGCUAACCGAGCGCAGAGUGGAAGACAGAGCGGAAAAGAAGAGGAAACUGCCGGACCCUCAGCCUCGAGGAACAAUGUGUCGUUUCUGUCACACAGAGCUGAAGCAGGGUCCAACCAGCAGACACACACACACAAAAAAAGGAUUCCCGGGAGGAAAACACAUUCACUGUCCAGCUAAGGUCCUUGCGUCAUAAAGACAUGACAAAGGAAAUUUGAGGCCUCACCGUUCUAUGCGAUGGAGAAAGAGAGGGUGGACGGCAGAAAGAAAAGGAUAGCUGAGGUCUCCAGACUCCAUCUGAAGCACAGAAAG